UCACGUCCCAAAGCCGGAGGAGCGAGAGGACUGUUUAAAACUGAAAGCCAACCUGCAGGGGGAAGCCGGGGCCGGGCGAGCCAGCGCCGGGCCGGGCCGGGCGAGCCCAGGGGCCUCUCCGGGGAGCGGCGCUGUGUGUCACGUGGGGCCCGCCCAGGCGCGGCCCGGACUCCGCGCGUGCGGCCGUCUUAGCAGCCGUCGUGGAAGCAGGAUUUCCGCGGUUGUGCAACGGCAUCGCGCUUCUGCGGAGAGCCUGGGCUCCGCGUUCCUCCCUGGCCCGGCCCCUCCUCUCCGGCAGCCCAGCCAUGGCCUGGACCGUGGCGGCGGCGGCGGCGGCGGCGGCGGGGAGCCGCGGGGCCCGCGGCGCGCUCUCGGCGCACACGCUCCUGUUCGACAUGCCGCCCGCGCUGCUGGGCGAGUUCUGCGCUGUGCUGGACAGCUGCGACGGCGCGCUCGGCUGGCGCGGCCUCGCGGAGCGACUUUCAAGCAGCUGGCUGGAUGUUCGUCACAUUGAAAAAUAUGUAGACCAGGGUAAAAGUGGAACAAGAGAAUUACUUUGGUCCUGGGCACAGAAAAACAAGACUAUUGGUGACCUUUUACAGAUUCUCCAGGAGAUGGGGCAUCAUCGAGCUAUCCAUUUAAUUGCAACUUAUGGGGCAGCCUUGAAUCCUUCAGAGCAGAGUCAUCAGGGAAAAGGAUUUCCGAUCAUGUUAUCCAAGGAAACAGCUAGUGUCACAGCGGAUAAUGUUCUUAUUCCUGAACAUAAUGAAAAAGGAAUAUUGUUUAAAUCCUCCAUCAGCUUUCACAACGUCAUAGAAGGAACCAGAAAUUUCCACAAAGACUUUUUAAUCGGAGAAGGGGAAAUUUUUGAGGUAUACAGAGUGGAAAUCCAAAACCGAACAUAUGCCAUUAAAUUAUUUAAACAGGGGAAAACAAUGCAAUGUAAGAAACAAUGGAAGAGCUUUUUAUCUGAGCUUGAAGUUUUACUGCUGUUCCAACAUCCAAACAUAUUGGAGUUGGCUGCAUAUUUUACAGAGAGUGAGAAGUUUUGCCUGGUUUAUCCGUAUAUGAGAAAUGGAUCACUUUUUGACAGAUUACAGUGUGUAGGUGACACAGCCCCACUCUCUUGGCACAUUCGAAUCAGUAUAUUAAUAGGAACAACCAAAGCCGUUCAGUACUUGCACAACAUGGAACCGUGCUCCGUCAUCUGUGGCAGUAUAUCAAGUGCAAACAUACUUCUGGAUGAUCAGUUUCAACCCAAACUAACUGAUUUUGCCAUGGCACACAUCCGACCCCACCUAGAACCUCAGAGCUCUGUCCUAAGCAUGACCAGCAGCAGCAGUAAGCAUUUGUGGUACAUGCCAGAAGAGUAUAUCAGACAGGGCAAACUUUCUGUUAAAACAGAUGUCUACAGCUUUGGAAUUGUAAUAAUGGAAGUUCUGACAGGUUGUAAAGUGGUGUUAGAUGAGCCAAAGCAUAUCCAGCUGAGGGAUCUCCUUAUAGAAUUGCUGGAGAAGAGAGGCCUCGAUUCAUGUAUCUCAUUUCUAGAUAAGAAAGUACAUCCCUGUCCUCGGAAUUUUUCCGCCAAGCUGUUCCCUUUGGCAGGCCAGUGUGCUGCAACACGGGCAAAAUUAAGACCCUCGAUGGAUGAAGUCCUAACUGUUCUUGAAAGUACUCAAGCCAGCUUGUAUUUUGCGGAAGAUCCUCCCACAUCCUUGAAGUCCUUCAGGAGUCCUUCUCCUCUGUUCUUCGAUAAUGUACCAAGUAUUCCAGUGGAAGACGAUGAAAACCAGAAUAAUCCAUCGCUGCCUCACGAUAAAGGUUGGAGAAAAGGGAGAACGACUCAGAAAACUCCCUUUGAAUGCAGCCAGUCUGAGGUUACAUUCCUGGGCUUUGACAGAAAGACAGGGAGUGGGAGGAAUGAGGACACUAGCAAUGUGCCCAGUUCUGCUUGUGAAGAAAGUUGGUCUCCAAAGCCUGCAGCUCCAUCCCAGGAUGUGAGGGCCUCUGGUGUGAAUAGGGACCCUUCUGCGGAAGUUCCAGGGCAUUCCUACAGGAGCAUGCCAGUGGAGGCCAGCUGUUCCUCUGAAUUUUCCUGGAAUGAAUGUGAACAGUGCAAAAAGGCAUCAGUUUCACCAGAAGAUAAAGAAGAAAGCAAGUAUUGCUGAGGCACCUGAGUACAGGUCUCAUCCUGGGAAGACAUUGUCUUUAUUGGGAGCGCCAAGAGGAUGAUUGAUGGUGAACUUGGGUAAUGCAGAUCAAUGAUCGGAACAAUUCUAUUCCAUUCCUUCCAACUUGUAGAACAGAGUGGCUUAAAGUUUUGUUUUAGCACGAUCAUUGCCUCAUGAUCAAACCUGGACUAAAUUAGAACCAUUCAGAAUUACUUAAGAUUGUAGACUGUGACUUCAGACCAACAAAACAAUCAAAACCUACCAAAAUGGAAGUGGAUUCCAGUGUCUUCUCCCUCAGCAUCCACGUGACUCCUCAGAGCCUCCAGUCUGCCAAAUUUCUACGUUUGCCUGACUCUUCGCUCAGCUGUGCCCUCGGUAACAACUGGCAACUGGUAAUAACGCUUUUAUUCCAAUGCCCUUUAUUAUUUUUGUCUUCCAACCCUAGUGACUGACGCUCCCACGUAGAUUUGUCUGGUAUCCCCCGAGUAACAAGUUUUGAGAGGGCUUAUAAAAGAAAAGUCCAAGAGGCAAAAACCAGACAAGCUGAAAUACAGAAGAAUGGAGAAGAGAUCACAGUACACAACUGAGAAUAUCUGUAAUUAAAUAUUAGUUGAUUUUGGCAAAAUCUUUAAAAGUUACCCUUAAGAUCUAUACUUGUUUCAAGUACUUCAAGAAGCAACCUACAGUUAAAUUAGGGCUUCCCUGGUGGCGCAGUGGUUGAGAGUCCGCCUGCCGAUGCAGGGGACACGGGUUCGUGCCCCGGUCCAGGAGGCCCACGUACCGUGAAAAAAAAAAAACCCCAAAACAAAAAAAAAAAAACACAAAAAAAGAAGCAACCUACAGUUAAAUUAAAGAUCUUUGGGGAGAUAAAUUUUUCACCCUUAAGUAUCCAUACCCCAGACUUGUGCCCCACUAUCCGUUUCUAGCCUACACAAAAAUUUUAACUUGCUGAAUUUAGUAGACUCUGGUUAUCGUUAUCAACUGAAAAUAAAACUUGCAACAGUGCAGAGAAAGAAUGGCUGACUACCGUGCUUUUCUCCAGCAGGUAGAGGUGGAGGCUAUAUAACAAUGCUAACGGGAUCCACAAUAACACAUGAAUUAUAAAGGGAAAAAGCAAAGUAUACACUAGGGUAAAAUACCAAUUCUGAUGAGCUCUAUCUGGGACUGUUGUGGACAUAACGAAGUUAUGGAGUGUGUAAAUAUAAAAACACUUCCUAGGCAAAUCCAGCUGAAAGAUAAAUGAAUGUUGGCUUCUUAAGAGCAUAACAUAGCCACAAAUUUUGUUCUUUUAUACUAAAUUAAUGUGUUGGUGCUAUUCUUGUGUUUCCUAGAAGGGAAAUGCCAGGUAAUCCCAAUGGUACCAUCAUUACAAAGAUUUCAACAAAAGAGAAGUUAAGGAAUCCAAUACAUAAAUACAGUGUAAAAUGGAAUCAUUCUGAACAGCACGUUGGAGUGAGGUAGAAAUAACUUCUGGUGGUCUUCCUAGUCCCAUUAUUCACUAAUGAUAAUUUCAUGUCCUUCUGAAAGUGUACAGGCAAAUUAUGGUGUACUUGCAGGACCAUUAAACACUGGAUCUUGUGAUGUUUUUAAAUGUUUGUAACAGGAUUUUUAAAUAAGGGCUGCAGUGACUUCAGCCAAGGGCAAAUAUUAAUCAAUGACCUUUUAUUGUUUUUAUUUUAUAUACCUGGAGGAAAGGGCGUGCUUACCUCCCAGUAUGCAUACAAAGCCAAAUAUGCACGUUUACGUUAACUCGCUGCCUGCAGCUCUGAGGCCAUUUGCUUUGUGAUGGGAGGCAGAGCGAUCUCUGACAUUUUCAUUAUGCAUCUGUCUGGCAGUUUGAAGCAGGAGAAAUAAUUCAUGUGAUUGCUAGUAUCCUGUCUUGGCCAUUAAAAUGUAUUUCCCUAAUAAAAAAAUUAUCACCAUAUUUUAUAAGGCAUAGUCUGACAUGUCUUCUUCUUUCUCCCCAUCUCGUAUCCUGGCAUCAUCGCUCCUGAUUUCAAUAGCCAUGUGAGUGAACCAAGUAGCAUUACUGCAUCACAGUUAAAAGAUCUCAUUGAUUACAGUGAAGCCACACUUAAACUUCCCUUCAGCCACUGUUCCCAUGGCCACACUGGACCCUAUCGCCACCUGAAGCUGCUGCACAUCAGAAAUCACAGUAUGUUGUCCUUGACUUUAUAAAGACCUCCCAUUACCUGAUCUCUCCUUUUUUUUUUUUUUUUUUAAAGAAGAUGUUGGGGGUAGGAGUUUAUUUAUUUAUUUAUUUUUGCCGUGUUGGGUCUUCCUUUCUG